rnacentral:ncRNA from 1 species
AUAAAAUAAUUAUGUUUUUGUAAUUUUAUUAUGAAUUUAUUUUACAUAUAAAUUUUAGUAUAUAAUUUUAAUUAUUUUAAUAAUAAUUAAUUAAUUAUUUAAUAGUAAUUAAUAUUAAAAAUUUAAGAAAUUAAGAUUUAGUAAUAUAAAAAUUAAUAACUAAUUUUGUGCCAGCAGUUGCGGUUAAACAAAUAUUAAAUUAAAUUAUUUCAGUUUAUAAUAAAUAAUAAUAAAAUUAAAAUAAAUAUUAAAUUAUUAAGUGAAAUUUUAAUUUAAUUAAAUUUUAUAUUAAAAUUAUGAUUUAAUAAAUUUUAAUAUAAACUAGGAUUAGAUACCCUAUUAUUAAAAAUUUAAUUUAUAAUACUAAAAUAGUAAAUAAUAAUUUAUUGAAACUUAAAUAAUAUGGCGGUAUUUUAGUUCAUUUAGAGGAAUCUGUCUAAUAAUUGAUAAUCCACGAAUAAAUUUACUUAAUUUAUAAUUUUGUAUAUCAUUGUUAAAAAAAUAUUUUUUAGUAAAAAUAAUAUUUAAAAUUUUAAAAAAGAAAUUAAUUCAGAUCAAGAUGCAGAAAAUAAUUAAGAAUAUGAUGGAUUACAAUAAAUUUAUUUAAAUGAAUAAUUAUGUUGUAAGAUGAAUUUGAAGGUGGAUUUAAAUGUAAUUUUAAUUAGUUUAUUAAAAUGAUUAAAAAUUGAAAUAUGUACAUAUUGCCCGUCACUUUCAUUUAAAAAUUGGAAUAAGUCGUAACAAAGUAGAGGUACUGGAAAGUGUUUCUAGAAAGA